GAGUUUGAUCAUGGCUCAGAUUGAACGCUGGCGGCAGGCCUAACACAUGCAAGUCGAGCGGAUGACAGGAGCUUGCUCCUGAAUUCAGCGGCGGACGGGUGAGUAAUGCCUAGGAAUCUGCCUGGUAGUGGGGGACAACGUUUCGAAAGGAACGCUAAUACCGCAUACGUCCUACGGGAGAAAGCAGGGGACCUUCGGGCCUUGCGCUAUCAGAUGAGCCUAGGUCGGAUUAGCUAGUUGGUGAGGUAAUGGCUCACCAAGGCGACGAUCCGUAACUGGUCUGAGAGGAUGAUCAGUCACACUGGAACUGAGACACGGUCCAGACUCCUACGGGAGGCAG
rnacentral:rRNA from 1 species